rnacentral:rRNA from 1 species
UACGUAGGGAGCGAGCGUUGUCCGGAUUUAUUGGGCGUAAAGAGCUCGUAGGCGGCUUGUCGCGUCGAAUGUGAAAUCUCAGGGCUCAACUCUGACAUUGCAUUCGAUACGGGCAGGCUAGAGUUCGGUAGGGGAGACUGGAAUUCCUGGUGUAGCGGUGAAAUGCGCAGAUAUCAGGAGGAACACCGGUGGCGAAGGCGGGUCUCUGGGCCGAUACUGACACUGAGGAGCGAAAGCGUGGGGAGCGAACAGG